GAGGUACUCCCUUCGUCUCAAAAUUAUUGUCUUACAUUUGUGUACAUAAGAAUGUAUCUAGUCACAUUUUAGUAUUUAGAUACAUCCAUUUGUAGAUAAAUCCAAGACAAGAAUUUUGAUACGGAGGGAGUAUAAG
rnacentral:pre_miRNA from 1 species